AGAGUACGUGAAACAGCUUAGAGGUAAACGGGUGGAUCCGCAAAGUCGGCCCGGGGAAUUCAACUUGCCGUGUCUGGGCGGCGGACGGUCGGUCUGGGAUCCGUAAAGACCCACCUGGCUGUUCGGCUGUCGUCGGCGAGUGCACUUUCCUCGGGUAGAGCGCCACGACCGGUUUCGGGGCGGUCAGAAGCCGGCCGAGAAGGUGACCUGUCCCGCUUCGGUGGGAGAGGUGUUAUAGCUCGGCCUGGUCGACUCGUUCCGAGACCGAGGACUUGCCGCGUCCGUUUGCUCCCGGCUCUCCGCCUGCGUUCGACUGGGGAAGCACUGCUUGCAGUUCUCUCCGACCGCGUGGGUGGCUUCUGUCGGGUCAGCGGCGGGCGCUUCUGGUCAGUGGCGAAUCGGUCGGUCCUCCACCCGAC
rnacentral:rRNA from 1 species